rnacentral:lncRNA from 1 species
AAACCGUUGUCCUACAGCUAGGCUGAGCCGGGAUGACCUAGCAGCAUCUCCUUAUUUGCCAGUAUUUUAUAACCAACUUUACGAAAUAUUUUCCAACAACAAUGGGAGUUGCCUCCACUGUAUAUGUUGGGUGUACUUUUUUAUUGGUGAUGAUUUUAAGAUCUAAAACAGGUAAGCUAGAUGAAACUUGAAAGUAUAAAUCCCGCUUGAAUUGGUCGAAAUGGCCCCGCUUCCGUUAUAUGCUUAUAGUGUUAUGUUACUACACAAUUAACAGAAAUUAAUCCAUUGCGAGAAAUGACAGCUACGCAUUAGGUGAGACCGUGACUGAGGUAAUUAUUGGGGAAUAUUCACCAAGACGAAGUCGAUUAAAAACUCCAUAGUUGAUUAUUUGAAUCAAAUAACUCCAUAGUUCAAUAUUUACAAUCUAAAUUACCUAGUCCUUGAAUGCAAUAGGCCAAUAGCCGUUUUGACUUGGGGCCGUUUUGACCGGUGAGCUUCAUUAUAAUUUGUGUACUUUAUAUGAACCAAAUAAACGUAUUAAUCAGAAUGUUUGUCGAUAUUAUUGCUUUCACAACUAAGAGCUGUUAGAUGUGUUAAUGAAUAUUAGAAAUAUCGUAGUUUGUGAGUUUUGCAUUUAUUAAUAAACAUUUGAUUCUUUGGCAGUUGAUAUCAUGAUUCACUAACCAUAUCAUCCAUCUUUAAAUUAAUAUUAAAGGCCAACACUAUACGAUUAUUUAUUAUUCAUUUUUACUGCAAGGAACUUUCAAAGAACCCAGUCAAACAGGGGUGAGUCAUGAUAGUUGAUGAGAACUGGCAGUCAGCCAGUCACAAAUUGUUAAUACAACAAGGGAUAUUUCAAGCUCGAUAGAUUAAUAACAAAAUAAAGGUUUGAUGAUAUACAAGUGUUAAUUGGUCUGUUGGGACAGCAUGAAGAACAGCAAUAUAUACACCCUUUCGAUAAUUACAAACGUCAUUUGACCUGGGAGCCUCGCUCUUGUGAAUUGUGAGCCAAUCACCUUGCGUAAUUUACUAAUGCGAGCGAGGCUCUUAGACCAAAAAGUAUGUGCGACAUAAUUAUCGAAAGGAUGUAUCAGGCUGCAAAGUUUGCAUGACUGCCAACUCUCAUGCACUAGUUAGCUCGCCUUGUUUGAUUCGGGCUUUACAAAUAUUACAUAGUACGAAACUAUUAACAAACACUAUCCAUUAACGUAAGACAUACAUAAUGAGCCGUACAUAAACUUAAUUAGCUGGAGUACGAGCAACAAAAUUGCUGCAACUUGCAACAAAAUCUAAUUAGUUUCUACACAUAUUAAUUGAAAAUGUUAAUUUACACAUAAAUUGUAAAGCACAAGGCAACAUCAGAUUUUGUUGCAUCAGAUUUUGUUGCAAUUAUAGUUGCAGCAAUUUUGUUGCUCGUGUAACUCCAGCUUUAUAUAUAUAUAGGUUUGAAAUCCUAGCUUUCUCCACAUUAUAUCUGUAUUUGAUCUCUUAAUUAGUUUCAAGUACAUUAGUUGAUUGAUCAUAUAUUACUUAUAAUUUGUAACUAUUUAGAUGCAAAGUUGACAGAAAAUAUACUGAAUCACAAUACUGAACUAUUAAAAACUUUAAAAUCAUACGAGGUUAUUAAACCAUACAGACUUGAAGGUCGAGUGAGACGUCAUGCUUCCACAAAAAUGUCGGUAUGUAUUAAAACGUUUUUAAUUUACAAAAUCUUCAGUUGCUAAAUUAUAUUAUUUUUAGAGUAAUUUUUUGUGUUGUUUUGAUUAUAGUUAUUAAUUAAAUUUAAAUACUGUGAUAAGUUAAAUAUUGACUAAUUGUUUUCAAGGUUUUAAAGAGGCUAAUUAAGCCUGCCGCACAUGGGAGAAACUUGCUGAGCUAACUGCCUCGUGUGGCAGCUAGCUCAGCAAUUUAAAUAUAGUUUCUUUCGUGUGCGGAUAGUUUUCAUGAGGAUUUGCAUGACCUCUCGAGGCGUUGAGGAAAAUAUCUAGUAUGAGGAAAAAAUCUCACCAUCUGCGUAUGUUGCAAGCUUUAAGUGCCGAGCUGCUUGAAUCAAUUAGCCAAUGAGAAACCAUAGUUUCUUCAUGUGACUUGGAACAAAAUGGAGAAAAAUGCAAAUGAUUUUAUCCAUUAUGUUCUUGUUGAGUAGUUAUAAUUUCCCAAUGUGUGCAUUGAGAAUGCAUAUACAGGUAGCUGAGCUGUCUGUCUGCCACCACGCCUUAGCUCAGCAAGUUUUUCUUGUGUGCAGCAGACUUUAGCAGUGUUACAAAUACAGUAUCUGCUUAAUGUUAUGCUUUAUAUUUGCUUUGAUAGUCUGGUCAUCUUCAAGGUACAACUAUUGUAUUUCCUGGUAAAAAAAAGCAUUUUCAUCUGGACAUAUCCCUUAACAU